GGAAGGAGACUCCUUCCUCCCCCGCCACUCCAUGUGUGUUCCUCCCAAAGUUGCACACUUGGAGGAAGAAGACAAACUUCCUUGAUAGACAAGGAUUGUUUGGUUUAGGGUAUAGUAGUAAGCUAUAUUCCCCUGCUAAAACCUCCAGACAAACUCUCAAGGUCCAUUUGUAAGAGAAUGUAGGGAAGUCAAGCUUCCAAGAUUCCAGACAUAUCCAAAUAAGGUGCUGCAUGUGGCAGUCUGCCUUUCUGU
rnacentral:sRNA from 1 species